UUUACCUGCGCGUUGGCCUCUAUGCGCAUAUGCGCAGAAGCAUCAAUCUAGCGAUGUCUUCCGAACAGAAGAGAAACAUAGUUGUGUUUUUAUGUAUAAUAACUGUAGCUUUUUCUAACUUAAUGUUCUGUGGUGCGUUGAGUGUAGAAAAGUUUGUUCUCAAUGGUUUUAAUGUGGAUCAUGAAAAGGCGUCAAAUGCUGACAGAGAGCGGAGGAUCAACACAAAACAAGACGCCAAGCACAAAUCUGAGUACCUUGGCGGACUGGCCAUUCUUCGGCGCAAUCUUCGACCUACUGUUAAUAAUUCCAGCAUUCAAGAACCGAGUGCAGAAUCCAUUGACGUGCCUGAGAACUCUAUAAAUAAUUCGAUUCGAACCAACAUUGAUCUAAAGUCAACUGAUUUGCGGGCGCCUUUGAUUGUGCGUAAUGGUUUCAAUGUCCAGAAAAGAUCUCUGGAUUACAAUGCUGGACAUCAGGCAGUCUUCAAAGGUUUUGAAGGCCACGGUUUUCAAGGGAAGGUCUAUGGUCCAUCAGCUAACCACAACCCCCACUCCAGUGAAUGGCUGUCGAUGAGGCCUCUGGUCCAGUGUAAUGACAACCUCAUGAUGCUCACUGCAUCUGGACGAGGAUACACACAUCUACUGGUGGAUAGAGCGGGCGCCUCUCCCAUCUCCCUGUUCCAGCUGCCGCCGUCCUGUGGCUACCAUGUGAAGACUACCUGGAGAGAGAUGGUGAUGAUGGCACCAUACGAUGGCUGCUACAUCAUGCAGGAGCAUGGUAGUUAUGUCCUGCCCAUGCUGUGGUGGGGCAGCCCUGUGAAGAUCAUCUGCCCAGUCCCCCACCCUGACCCCCGACCCCACCCUGUCCCCCCAAACGCUGUCCCCUCAGUACUCUGCUCCCACUUUGGCAUGGCCAUCCAGAUACAUGGAGGGGAGGAGGUCAUACACACCCUACAGGUCAUAGAGAAAGGCGAGUGGGUGCCGUUUGUGUCUGAAGAGUGUGCCUACCAAGUGGAAUCCCACUCAGAAGACCUCAUAUUUUAUGUUCCCUUUACAGCCCCAUGUGUGACUAUCGGAAAUGGAGUUCAUCGACUGGUCCUAUUGGACGGCCAGGACUUCAUCCUCUCCUGCCCCUCACAACACCCUCCUCCAUUUCCCUUUUAUCCCUCUCCUCCAUUUUCUCAACCCUUCUCUCCUGGUGACCCACAGCAGCAGAUACCUGACCCUGUGACUUUUGCUCCCUCCACCAGCCCUCCCCUUACCUCUCUUCCCAUCACCCCUUAUACUCAACCCCCAGCCCAGGAACAGAUGCCCCAACUUCCUGCGUUCCCCCACCACCUCCCUCAUGGCAUGUAUCCCCAAAUUCACCAUUUCCCUUACGGUGGAGCUGGUUAUCACCCUCUCCUCCACCCUGGUCUCGAACCAUACCCUGGCUCCCAUCAUCUUCUCCCAGGGAGAUACCCAGGCCAGCAGCCCUUCUUCCCCAUUGGGCCUGGGAAUCACCCCUACGGCUCUGGAGACCACCAUGACUCCUUUUACCUCUCCCCGCCCCCUACCCACGAUCCCAUGCUCUACUAUUAUAAUGAAAUCGCCCCUGGUGUCCACCGUCCUUCUGUUGUCUAUCCUACUCCUCUUAUAGCUAUCCGACCACCGCAUCCCGCCGCUUAUACCAAACCACCUCCUCCUUUCGCCGGUUAUACCAAACCUCCUCCUCCUUUCGCCGGUUAUACCAAACCUCCUCCUCCUUUCGCCGGUUAUACCAAACCUCCUCCCGCCGGUUAUACCAAACCUUCAACUAAAUAUUAUACCGAACAACCUCCUCCACCUCUCGAUACUGAACCUGUUCUUCCUAUAAUACCUACUGCCUUUGAACGUCGUUCUUACCCCAUUGUUACCGGAUCUCCUCCUCCCCCUUCUGGAUCCAAACCUUCAUCACCUGUAUUCCAACCUCCAAAACCACCUGCAGAUCCAAAUGACCCAUAUGGGGUCCACAUGACCAAUCAGGCCCUGAUUACUGAAGAGCCCAUGUCUGCUACUGGGAGCCCCAAUCCCGAUCCCUAUACCCAACCUCCUAAAUGGCCUGUGGGUCCAUACUAUUACCCCUAUGGUCCUUACUACCCACCUUCUGGUCCUCACCAUUAUCCCUUCAUACCCAUCUACUACCCUUCACCUACCCCAGGGCCUAGCCCAGUCAAAGCUAGUCCUCCCCAGACUCUCCCUUCAGGUCCUCAAGACCCUACAAUUCCCACGGUCUACCCACCCCACCACUACCCUCAGCCAGUCACCUGCUCUCCCUCUGCCCAUACCAUCUGUAGCUAUUACCCAUAUGCCGUGGAUGUGCCACACCACCUAUAUCCUCUCUACCUGACGCCCAGCCCCCCUCUGACCACCCCAGCCCUUCCCUCCACAGGCGCAGCUCUGCCUGGUGCUACUCAACCACCCCAGACUUCACCAACCACCCCCUCACCCUCCUCCAGGACCAUAUCGUCCACUCCUACUCUCACUCCUUGGAUGUCCAUCCUCACCCCUACUCUCCCCCCUCAGCCCUCCCUCUCUCCUGGGCUCUCCCCUCGGCCCUCCCUCCACUGUCUAGCUGGGCAGAUGAUGGUGUCGCUGCCCUCUGCUCUCCUGGACUCCAUCCAGGUCAAAGAUCAGAUGAAUGGCUGGGUGUCUAUCUCCAGUGCCCCGGCGGCUUGUAGAUACAUCCUACAGUUGAGUAAGGGUGGUGGAGUGAUCCUCCAUUCCCCUCUCCCUGCCUGCCACAGCCAGGCUAUGGCCCUCAACCCACACCAGCUCUCCCUCCCCCUGAAGUUUUGGGACACAGUCCUGGGGCAAUACAGAUCUCUGGAGCUCCAUUGCCCGUCAACUGUGACCCCAUCACCCCACACCACUACCACCACCCUCCCACCGACGACCCACACCAGGCCUCCCACUCCCCCCAAGCCACACGUCUUCUGCUCUGCUCGCCACAUGAGGGUGGAGCUUCCCUCAGGUCCCAUAUCUGGAGUUGUUGUCAAGGACAUCGAAGGGAUUGAGAUGAGCCUGAUGGAUGCCCCAGAGCAUUGUGGGUAUGUGGCAAGCAAGGGAAAGGAUGGCAUGAUCACCCUGAACCUCCCCUUCAACUCUUGUCACAUGACUGUCCAGGGUAAAGAGCACAGCAUAGAUGUGAUUUACUCCACGUUGAAUGGACAAAAAGGGAAGGCCCAGUUGUCCUGUCCAGUUUCCAUACCAGUUUCUCAUCAAGAGUGUAACCUUCCCAGUGACCAGCGCCUCCCCUGCGGCCGCCGCGCUCUAUCCCAGGCAGAGUGUCUCUCUCUGGGCUGCUGCUACAGCACCAAGCCCUCUGCCUGCUACUACUCCAUGGAUGAAUGCACAUUGGACCGCCACUUUGUCUUUUUGGUGCCCGCCUCCCUCACGGACCCCCCUCUGAACCCUGCUUUGCUCACUGCCGCUGGCAACCCCACCUGCGCCCCUCAGAGGGUGACCCCAGACUACGCCCUGUUCAAGAUCCCACUGGGCGGCUGCGGGGCCCACAGAUACGAGGUUGGCCAAACGGUAGUCUACAUGGUGGAGAUCAUCAACACGGUUCAGUCAAUCACCCUCAACUAUGGGACCAUCACCAGAGACUCUCCUAUCAGGCUGCUGGUUGAGUGCCAGUACACUCCUGGCUCUGUGGUGAGUGUUGGCUUCCUGGUCAAGACCCCCUCCUUUGGCCCCUCCAUUCAGGCCCAGGGUGUGUUGGGGGUCCAGCUCAGGAUUGCCACAGAUGAGCAGUACAGUAGCUUCUACCCCCAGUACCACCGGCCCCUGCAGAUGCUCUUGGGUAAACCCUUACACCUUGAGGUGCGUCUGCUCAACCCCCCAGAUGACAAAGUGGUCCUGCUGGUACACUACUGCGUGGCCUACCCCAGAUCAGGACAGACUGUCUGGGUACUCCUCUAUAAUGGAUGUCCUAACCAUCUGGACCCGGACUCUCAGAAGCCUCACCCAUCUCCUCCACCCCCACCCUUCCACCAAGGCCAGACACGAAGGUUCACCAUCUCCACCUUCCAGUUCCUCACCUCUGGACAGACCCAGACAUUGGAGGACCAUGAAGAGAUCUACUUCAUGUGUUCUACUGAAGUGUGUUCGCCGCUGGACGGCAGCCUGUGUGUAGAGGGAUGCUUUGGCCAGUGACUGUAAGGAACCGCACAGACACAAUGUUCAGUCACUAUGGACACGGCAGAGCCCUGGUCAAACAUAAAAGAUGGACAGAAAGCAAUAGUCAUGGAAGAUUAACUGGCCCAAUGCUGCUCGUUCACCACUAAUAAAACCCCUUAAAAGGAGACUGUGUUUCUUGCUCCCAGGCAGUCUAGUCUAGAUGGCAUGAAGCUGACUCCACCAGUGCUGUACUCAAUUGUUUACGUUCACACUGACUCCGCCUAUGGAGGUUCUAGACAACGGCCCCAAUCAACAUUCUGGAUAUCCAAUGUUAUUCCAUACAUUAUAGCAUUCAAUGUGAUUACUGUCUAAAAUGGCUUUUGAAUAUAGGUUAGCAGACCUCUUCCAUAUUAUACAUACAUACAGUCAUUAAUUCGCAUGAAGAUCAUACGUUUUGACCACUGGGUGUCAGCCAAGCUCUAAACCAGGAUCGAGAAUGCCUCCUGAGGCUCUUGAUUUGUAGUUGAGGGGUCUGAAGACCUUGAACUGGCUGUUGUGUAAUAAUAGGAGCGCAAUCAUGUUAUAAUCUCAAUGGCACAUUUAUCUGAGUAAUGUUGUCACCUUCGAAAUGUUUAUUUUAUUCUACAGCACAGGUUAGUAGGCCUCUGGUCUAUUUUAAAGGAGGAGCACGUGAAUCAUGCGUCAUUCAUAUUCCGCUGGUUAAAGAAGUCUAGGUUCAAAAUGCUGCGAAAAUGAACAUGGCCCUCACAUGCCCCCCCAUUUUAAUUGUUUGUAAGCACUGCGGCACACUACGUUUUUUGUUGUUGUGGCUGCCAUGCUAGUGUUUUUUUAGGGAGAGAACGGAAGAUAGGAGGGCGCACGUCCAAGGGGAACGAGGGAGGGACCUACACGAGAGCACAGAGGGGGAGGGAAGAUCAUUUCCUUUCUGUAAGUGUACGCGCCGCAAGAAUACACCGGGAUAAGGACGAAAAAAAAUAUAGGGAAGACGGUAAAGGAAAUACCGCAGCCCCGUUGUCUUUUGUUUUGGGAAUUCAUCUAACACAGAACGGAAGACUAACAUGGGGAGAUGGUUCAUUAGGAUUGACUUUCAAUAACCCUCUCUCCAUGCGAAAAAGUCUGGCGAGUAGACUGGAAAAGGCAAUAGCAGUCAGGGAAGACAUGUUUAGUGAUUUUAGUCCUGCGCGUGAGGUAGGAUGUUGAUGUAUUUUCAUAAAAUAUUUCUGUCUCUCUGGCACAAAUAAGGGGUCAACAGUGAAUGGGCAUAUUAUUCCAGGCACCGUAUCAUUAAGCAGUGUAGUUAAUUACUUAGGUUAAUAAAACGGUGAAAUAGCCUAGGCCUUCUGCAGACUGAAUAUUGCUUUAACGUUACAUGACUAACGUUAGUAGGCUAGGCCUAAACACAAGGCUA